CCUACGGGAGGCAGCAGUGAGGAAUAUUGGUCAAUGGGCGCGAGCCUGAACCAGCCAAGUAGCGUGAAGGAUGACUGCCCUACGGGCUGUAAACUUCUUUUAUAAAGGAAUACAGUGAGGCACGUGUGCCUUUUUGUAUGUACUUUAUGAAUAAGGAUCGGCUAACUCCGUGCCAGCAGCCGCGGUAAUACGGAGGAUCCGAGCGUUAUCCGGAUUUAUUGGGUUUAAAGGGAGCGUAGAUGGGUUGUUAAGUCAGUUGUGAAAGUUUGCGGCGCAACCGUAAAAUUGCAAUUGAUACUGGCGGUCUUGAGUACAGUAGAGGUAGGCGGAAUUCGUGGUGUAGCGGUGAAAUGCUUAGAUAUAACGAAGAACUCCGAUUGCGAAGGCAGCUUACUAAUCUGCCACUGACAUUGAUGCUCGAAAGUGUGGGUAUCAAACAGGAUUAGAUACCCCUGUAGUC
rnacentral:rRNA from 1 species